rnacentral:rRNA from 1 species
GAUGAACGCUGGCGGCGUGCUUAACACAUGCAAGUCGAACGAACCUUCGGGUUAGUGGCGGACGGGUGAGUAACGCGUGAGAAUCUGCCCUCAGGAGGGGGAUAACGGUUGGAAACGACCGCUAAUACCCCAUAUGCCUACUGGUGAAAUGAAUCUCGCCUGAGGAUGAGCUCGCGUCUGAUUAGCUAGUUGGUGAGGUAAUGGCUCACCAAGGCUUCGAUCAGUAGCUGGUCUGAGAGGAUGAUCAGCCACACUGGGACUGAGACACGGCCCAGACUCCUACGGGAGGCAGCAGUGGGGAAUUUUCCGCAAUGGGCGAAAGCCCGACGGAGCAGCGCCGCGUGAGGGACGAAGGCCUCUGGGCUGUAAACCUCUUUUCUCAAGGAAGAAGAUAUGACGGUACUUGAGGAAUAAGCCACGGCUAAUUCCGUGCCAGCAGCCGCGGUAAUACGGGAGUGGCAAGCGUUAUCCGGAAUUAUUGGGCGUAAAGCGUCCGCAGGCGGCUUUUCAAGUCUGCUGUUAAAACGUGGAGCUUAACUCCAUCAUGGCAGUGGAAACUGAAAGGCUUGAGUAUGGUAGGGGCAGAGGGAAUUCCCGGUGUAGCGGUGAAAUGCGUAGAUAUCGGGAAGAACACCAGUGGCGAAGGCGCUCUGCUGGGCCAUUACUGACGCUCAUGGACGAAAGCCAGGGGAGCGAAAGGGAUUAGAUACCCCUGUAGUCCUGGCCGUAAACGAUGAACACUAGGUGUCGGGGGAAUCGACCCCUUCGGUGUCGUAGCUAACGCGUUAAGUGUUCCGCCUGGGGAGUACGCACGCAAGUGUGAAACUCAAAGGAAUUGACGGGGGCCCCCACAAGCGGUGGAGUAUGUGGUUUAAUUCGAUGCAACGCGAAGAACCUUACCAGGGUUUGACAUCCUGCGAACCUCUUAGAAAUUUGAGGGUGCCUUCGGGAAUGCAGUGACAGGUGGUGCAUGGCUGUCGUCAGCUCGUGUCGUGAGAUGUUGGGUUAAGUCCCGCAACGAGCGCAACCCACGUUUUUAGUUGCCAGCAUUUAGUUGGGCACUCUAGAAAGACCGCCGGUGAUAAACCGGAGGAAGGUGUGGAUGACGUCAAGUCAUCAUGCCCCUUACACCCUGGGCUACACACGUACUACAAUGCUACGGACAAAGGGCAGCAAACUCGCGAGAGCUAGCAAAUCCCAUAAACCGUGGCUCAGUUCAGAUCGUAGGCUGCAACUCGCCUACGUGAAGUAGGAAUCGCUAGUAAUCGCAGGUCAGCAUACUGCGGUGAAUACGUUCCCGGGCCUU